CAUGCACCAGUGGGGUCCCUCGGCCUGGCCUGCACCCUUUUGCAAUCCAGAACCCCUCCGGGGAUGUCAGAGAGCCGGUUUUGGCCCGACCCUGCAGGCCAGGCCGAGGGACCCCACUGGUGCACG
rfam:Myotis davidii contig100910, whole genome shotgun sequence.